ACUACAUUGGCUUCAGCAAGAUACUAAUUUUUCACUGACUCCUGAUCAUUUGCAAGUUCUGAUUAUUUAAAUUGAAAUACCUCAGGGAAAAAAUAAUUAAAAAUAAAGCAGGUAAUUAUAAUGCUACGUUUACAUUUCUGUUGGUCAUGUGACUGAAGCGUGGAUUAUAAUGCAUGCAUACAGAGGAGCUGAGCUAUGACUGAGAAACAGACCUUCAUGAAGAAGAAGCUAGAGCAAAAAGAGACAUGUGAGAGCCCUGAUGAGUUCUUCUCUUGUUAUGACCACAUGAAGACAUAUCACAUAGAAGACAUCAACUUCCAUUUGCAGAGAUCCACAUCCUGGUCCUUUCUUCAUGACCAGUUUGCAAGCACCCACAAGUCCUCCACAUGCUGGGUGAGUAUGCAGUUGCACCCACAGGUUUGUUUGGCUGGACUCCCAUAUGGGCAGUGA
rnacentral:lncRNA from 14 species